GAUGAAGAACGCAGCGAAAUGCGAUAAGUAAUGUGAAUUGCAGAAUUCAGUGAAUCAUCGAAUCUUUGAACGCACCUUGCGCCCUUUGGCCAUUCCGAAGGGCAUGCCUGUUUGAGUAUCAUGAACACCUCAACUCUCAUGGCUCGCCAUGAUGAGCUUGGGCUUUGGGGGUCUUGCUGGCCUGUGGUCGGCUCCUCUCAAAUGGAUCAGCUUGCCAGUGUUUGGUGGCAUCACAGGUGUGAUAACUAUCUGCGCUUGUGGUUUUCCAUCAGAUAACCUUCAGUGAUGGAGGUUCGCUGGAGCUCAUAAACGUCUCCCCUAAGCGGGGACAGCCCUUUGAAUGUUUGAUCUCAAAUCAGGUAGGACUACCCGCUGAACUUAAGCAUAUCAAUAAGCGGAGGA
rnacentral:misc_RNA from 1 species